ACAUCUCUCACCAAAGCCAGCCCCCCCUCUCUCUCUCUCUCUCUCUCUCUCUCGUGCAUACAAGGUCUCGUUCUUGCCAAGGCACUGCACACGUCUUCCGGGGGUAAGUGACACCACGGUGUCAUAAUUUUUGUAUUGCACUCAUGUCGUAACUUUCUUUUUUAAUCACUUAAGUGUCAUGACUUGUAACAUACGUAGAAUGAUGCCCUUACUUUUUAAAAAGCGUUCAUCACAACGAUACUUGAUACUUGCGGUGGCCGUUAUUUAGAAGUCCGGGCAAUCUAGUGAUCAAAAAAGAAAAGUCAUGACACUUAAGUGAUAAAAAUAAAUAAAUAAAAUUACGGUGCUCAAGUGAGCGUCGUAUGAAAAGUUAUGACAUGAGUAGCGUACAAAAAAUUAUGGCAUUUGUGAUGUCCUUAUCCCCAAUUUUUUUCAUUUUAGUCCUACGCCUACAUUUUUGCUACUAGAUUUGUCUUGCGGACCUUCUGUUUCGCUGCCUCAUUAGGCUCCAAAACGAAUCAAUUAAGUGCAGGGACAAAGUAGCAUAAACAGGUGAGUGACUAAAAUGAAAAAAUAAAAAUGUACAUAUCUCCUCCUUCUACUUUCUUUUUUUUUUCUUUUCCUCCUCUUUUCUUAGAAUAGGACAAAAACAGAAGCUAGUUUCUGCUCCCGAAAAAACAAGAUGGUAAAAAAAAAAAAAUCUCACACUCUUGUUUUUUCUAUGCCAAAAACUAGUUUUUCUUUUUGCCCUACUCCAUGCACGAAUCCACCUAAAUGCUACGGUCCGGAGAGAAAGCUCGAAUGUAUUGCAAAAAUGUCACAGUUCUUUUCGCCACUAGAAAAUCGCUUCAUCCUGAAGUUCCAGUCCUCCAUUUUUUCUCAAAGAGCUCAGAAACCCGUUCAGAAGCCUCUUAUCUCAUUUGAAGGCCGAUUUAAUUCGUUCCUCAGAGGAGAAGGUAAGAUGAGAUCCCUGGAACUUCAAACUUUUAUCGGCGAACAAGCAGAUCAAAGCUGGGCUAACAUGGAUUCUGAAGAUUGAAUUAGGCAACAUAUCCCACCGGGAAACCUGGAAUGAUUUGCUUUCAUUGACAAGAUCAACUGCAUCAGCCAGCUGUUGCCGCCAAAAUGAAUCCACCAUUGGUCCAAGACUUCACCUUGCCAUGUUAUUUGUGUCGAAAGUUUUGUAGCCCUGAUCUCAUGUUGAAAAUUUGAUUGGGCGGAAGAUCGGUUUGAACAUCAAGGUAGUCUGUAUUUUGAUGUGCACGAGUGUGCACGUGUAUGCUCUAAUUGAUGUAGAGCAAAGGAAAAGGAAUAUAUGCAAGGUUAAUGGGACAAAGAUAGUUUAUCUGGCGUAA